GUGUGCGUGUGUGCGUGUGUGCGUGUGCCUUAUGCGUGAAAAGACAGCCGGCAAGUAAUAUUUUGUUGUUGUAUUUUUGAAAAAAAUAGCGAAUUGUGCACGCUCUUAAAUUGGCCAUUUGAUUGGUGCUUGCCUGUGAAAGCAGUUCUCCUGUGCAAACCAGUUAACGAUGCGCUGAGCAUUGACAAUUAACGUAAAAGCCACAGUCGAUUGUCGCAACAACAACUGCGAUAGUGGCUCUGCCGCCGUCGUCGUCGUCUCUUUCCCCGCUUGGAUAUAUUCAGUUGAUGCGUAUGUACACAUAAGAGACUGCCCACAGAGCACGUGCACGUUACCCACGCCAACAAUUGGAAUCUAAAGAUGCAGGACGUACGGCAGCAACUGCUUGACUGGCGAUACCUGACGCGGGAGCAAAUCGAUGGCUUUGACAAUUACAAGUACAGCGCCAUAGACACAUCGCCGCUGAGCCAAUAUGUAAUGCAUCCCUUUUGGGAUUGGCUUGUCAAGUUCUUCCCGCGCUGGUUUGCGCCCAAUCUGAUGACGUUCCUGGGCUUCCUGUUUAGUGUGAUGAACCUGGUGCUGCUCUCCUACUACGACUGGAAUUUCGAGGCCAGUUCGGGCGAGGAGGGCACAACGCCAAUUCCAACAUGGGUUUGGCUAUGCGCCGCCAUCAAUAUAUUCGUUGCGUACACCCUGGACGGCAUUGAUGGCAAGCAGGCGCGUCGCAUUGGCCUGUCCGGGCCGCUGGGCGAGCUGUUUGAUCAUGGCCUAGACUCGUACACGGCCAUGAUUAUACCCACAUGCCUCUACAGCAUAUUUGGCCGGAGCAGAGUCUACUCAGUGCGCCCGAUGCGCAUGUACUACGUCUGCCUAACGGUCUAUUUCAACUUCUUCGUGUCGCACUGGGAGAAAUACAAUACGGGCAUAUUGUAUUUACCGUGGGGCUAUGAUCUCAGCAUGUGGGGCAGCACGGCCAUGUACAUGUUUACGUGGUGGAUGGGCUUCGAGCGCUGGAAAUUCGAGCUAUCGUUGGGCGCCCUGGGCACCAUUCCUCUGGGCAAUGUCAUGGAGGCAGUACUGCAUGUCAGUGCCAUGGCCAAUCUGCCUCUCGUAAUUAUCAACGUCUACAACUCGUAUGCUCAGCGCACCGGCCGAUUAUUGUCGCCAUGGGAGGCGCUGCGUCCGAUGUGGCCAUUUAUAACUUACUUUGUCCUGCUGUUGCUCUGGCCCUUUUUGUCGCCCAACGAUAUUAUGGAAAGGGAUCCGCGCGCCAUGUUCAUGCUAAGCGGCACAAUUUUCUCCAACGUUAGCUGCCGUCUGAUUGUGUCCCAAAUGUCUGUCACACGCGCCGAGGCCUGGCACUGGCAGACGCCCAUGUUCGUGCUGUCCAUGCUGGUGAGCUUGUGGCUUCCGGCGCUGGAGCGGCCGCUGCUCUACACGCUGCUCAUUGUGACCACCUUGACGCAUUGGCACUACGGCGCCAGCGUGGUGAAUCAGAUGUGCGAGCACUUCAAUCGCGUUUGCUUCACUGUGCACAAACGAGUGGAGUAUCAGGCCACGAAUCCCGAGGAGACAUUGCAGGAGCGCAAGGAGGCUCCGACGACAGCACUCAAGCAGGAUUAGGCUAAACACAUUUGGUCAAAUUUCUGGCUGUGUUUCGAUUAUCCGGGAGGCUGUCGAACCCUGUGUGCGAUGUGAGAUUCUACGUAAAUAUUUGUGCUACUUAACGCUUUCUCAACCAAAUGCUCGGGUAGCAAGGACCUUGAGUUACACUAUCUGGAUAUACUUAGUAUUCCAUCUUAAAUGUGUAAUCGAUAAUUAUCGGUCGAUUAAUUGCAGCACUCUCCUUGGAACAGGUUUUGGCUUACAACUGGGAGAACUAUCCGAAUCAUUUGCACGUUAAUCAACACUCAUCUUACAUUUAAAUUGUAUUUAAGAUUAAACACAAUUCUUAAAGGCUUGAUUCGGUCAUAAAAUACCCUCGCAUCGUUUUCCCUGUAAACAAUCUAAUUAUUAAAUUAUUUAUAUGCCAAUGUUUUAUAUUCAUUGUCGUAUGACUUUCAAUUCUAGUAUAAUGGCAUAGCUUGAAUGUGCUUAAUUUAUUUGAAUUAUUUUGUAAUUGUUAUAUUUUAUAUUGUGCUUAAACCAGAGGCCCACACAAAAAUACAACAAAUUCUAGCCGAAUGCGACAGACAUGACAUGUUUAAUUAAGACAACCGCCAAGACCUCUAAUUAUUUUAUCGCAUACUAUGUAAUUAUUAUUUAAACACAUAAUUAUGUAUACUACUUAAUAUGUGGUCGCUGUAUUCGCCACAAAUUGAAUUAAUUAUGUUUAACUGUAAAUGUCGCUUCCCCCUCCCUGAAACUGUGCAAAAGACAAGACAACAUUUAAAAAUAAUAAUAAACUAUAUUUUAGUAAACGCGAUUAACGAGUGUAGUGCUGCGAAUAGUUUUUCUAGAAGCAAUCUAAUAAAAAUUAGAUGGACCAACAAGCAAGCGAGCUCGACUGGCGAAUACCCUUUAGUCACUUUGCAGAGUAGAAACCAAACCGCAAAACAUACCCAAAUUAUCACCGUUCUUUUCCAUUCAAAUUGUUAAUCUCGUAAAUAAACAUAUCUUCUGCUAUUCAAUUGUUAAUGCGCACAAAAUGCACCUAAUCGAGUCCACACGACUGCCAAUCAGGUUUGCGCAGCUGUCAACAAUCCGGCGAUCAAUUUGAGUACGUGCUCGGGCGAUUAGCUGGACAUCAA